rnacentral:rRNA from 1 species
GAUGAACGCUGGCGGCGUGCCUAAUACAUGCAAGUCGAGCGAACAGACGAGGAGCUUGCUCCUCUGACGUUAGCGGCGGACGGGUGAGUAACACGUGGAUAACCUACCUAUAAGACUGGGAUAACUUCGGGAAACCGGAGCUAAUACCGGAUAAUAUAUUGAACCGCAUGGUUCAAUAGUGAAAGACGGUUUUGCUGUCACUUAUAGAUGGAUCCGCGCCGCAUUAGCUAGUUGGUAAGGUAACGGCUUACCAAGGCGACGAUGCGUAGCCGACCUGAGAGGGUGAUCGGCCACACUGGAACGGAGACACGGUCCAGACUCCUACGGGAGGCAGCAGUAGGGAAUCUUCCGCAAUGGGCGAAAGCUUGACGGAGCAACGCCGCGUGAGUGAUGAAGGUCUUCGGAUCGUAAAACUCUGUUAUUAGGGAAGAACAAAUGUGUAAGUAACUAUGCACGUCUUGACGGUACCUAAUCAGAAAGCCACGGCUAACUACGUG